rnacentral:sRNA from 1 species
AAGUUUAUGCUUGCUUCCGGUCCGCUAGCUCCAAGAGCUAACUAACUUGGGGUCUUUUCCCUAGGUGGAUGUAAAAGCGGGUGCCGGCCUCCCACUCUCCCUUCCAUAUGGGCUUAGCGUUUGGGUCACUGAGAACGACGUCUGAAUAGGGCCCUGGGUCCUUGCCAUGGAUGAAGGUGGUUCCCGCAUCCGCCGGCGGGUGUCUCUCCCGAAAAGGAACCGUCCAAGCCUGGGGUGUAUUUUUAGCGCUCCCACCGCGGCCGAGCUCGAGCCUGGAGAUGAGGGGAAAGAGGAGGAGGAAAUGGUGGCUGAGAACAGGAGGCGGAAAACCGCGGGCGUACUACCGGUCGAGCAUAAUGACAGUGAAGUGGACAUGUUUGGUGACUGUGAUAGCUUUACUGAAAACUUUAUAGCUCAAGUUGACGACCUGGAACAAAAAUCUAUGCAACUCCCUGAACAUAAGAAACAUGCUACAGACUUUGCCACUGAAAAUCUUUGCUCAGAAAGUAUCAAAAACAAACUCAGCAUUACUACCACAGGCAAUCUUACUGAAUUACAAACUGAUAAGCACACAG